GUCUCAGGCUGUUGCUUCCUGCGUGUUUGGCGGGGCCACCUUAGGUUGGCUGAUCACUCACGCGGGAGCCGAGAUCUCGCUGAAGUGGUCACUGAGCAGAGGGGGAGGCCCAGACCAGAGCGGGGGGCAGGGCCCGUGCUCUCAGAAUAGAGGGACAUGACUGCACCCCGAACCUCUUCUCAGGGGCUCAUGGGGCGCAGUCCGUCCAGCACACCCACAGGUGUCGGCUUGUGCUAGGGGUGGGGCUGAAAUGCAGAGUGUGGCCAUGACCUGGACUGCCCAGUGGCCCUUAAAUACCUAUAUACACCUGUCACAUAAUUUAAAAAGGCCUUUUGGACAACAUAAAAAUCAACAGCAUCUGCCCCUGAUUUUUUUUUAAAACCUUUAUGAUCUAUUAAAAAAAAAAAACAAAAAUGGACACCACCUUUCUUCUGCGUUGAUACCACUGUUU